UACGGGAGGCAGCAGUGGGGAAUUUUCCGCAAUGGGCGCAAGCCUGACGGAGCAACGCCGCGUGAGGGAUGAAGGCCUCUGGGCUGUAAACCUCUUUUAUCAAGGAAGAAGACCUGACGGUACUUGAUGAAUAAGCCACGGCUAAUUCCGUGCCAGCAGCCGCGGUAAUACGGGAGUGGCAAGCGUUAUCCGGAAUUAUUGGGCGUAAAGCGUCCGCAGGCGGUUUUACAAGUCUGUCGUUAAAGCGUGGAGCUCAACUCCAUUUCGGCGAUGGAAACUGUAAGACUAGAGUGUGGUAGGGGCAGAGGGAAUUCCCGGUGUAGCGGUGAAAUGCGUAGAUAUCGGGAAGAACACCAGUGGCGAAGGCGCUCUGCUGGGCCAUAACUGACGCUCAUGGACGAAAGCCAGGGGAGCGAAAGGGAUUAGAUACCCCUGUAGUCCUGGCCGUAAACGAUGGAUACUAGGUGUUGGACGUAUCGACCCGUGCAGUACCGUAGCUAACGCGUUAAGUAUCCCGCCUGGGGAGUACGCACGCAAGUGUGAAACUCAAAGGAAUUGACGGGGA
rnacentral:rRNA from 1 species